rnacentral:rRNA from 1 species
GUUAAGCGACUAAGCGUACACGGUGGAUGCCCUGGCAGUCAGAGGCGAUGAAGGACGUGCUAAUCUGCGAUAAGCGUCGGUAAGGUGAUAUGAACCGUUAUAACCGGCGAUUUCCGAAUGGGGAAACCCAGUGUGAUUCGUCACACUAUCAUUAACUGAAUCCAUAGGUUAAUGAGGCGAACCGGGGGAACUGAAACAUCUAAGUACCCCGAGGAAAAGAAAUCAACCGAGAUUCCCCCAGUAGCGGCGAGCGAACGGGGAGCAGCCCAGAGCCUGAAUCAGUGUGUGUGUUAGUGGAAGCGUCUGGAAAGGCGCGCGAUACAGGGUGACAGCCCCGUACACAAAAAUGCACAUGCUGUGAGCUCGAUGAGUAGGGCGGGACACGUGGUAUCCUGUCUGAAUAUGGGGGGACCAUCCUCCAAGGCUAAAUACUCCUGACUGACCGAUAGUGAACCAGUACCGUGAGGGAAAGGCGAAAAGAACCCCGGCGAGGGGAGUGAAAAAGAACCUGAAACCGUGUACGUACAAGCAGUGGGAGCACGCUUAGGCGUGUGACUGCGUACCUUUUGUAUAAUGGGUCAGCGACUUAUAUUCUGUAGCAAGGUUAACCGAAUAGGGGAGCCGAAGGGAAACCGAGUCUUAACUGGGCGUUAAGUUGCAGGGUAUAGACCCGAAACCCGGUGAUCUAGCCAUGGGCAGGUUGAAGGUUGGGUAACACUAACUGGAGGACCGAACCGACUAAUGUUGAAAAAUUAGCGGAUGACUUGUGGCUGGGGGUGAAAGGCCAAUCAAACCGGGAGAUAGCUGGUUCUCCCCGAAAGCUAUUUAGGUAGCGCCUCGUGAAUUCAUCUCCGGGGGUAGAGCACUGUUUCGGCAAGGGGGUCAUCCCGACUUACCAACCCGAUGCAAACUGCGAAUACCGGAGAAUGUUAUCACGGGAGACACACGGCGGGUGCUAACGUCCGUCGUGAAGAGGGAAACAACCCAGACCGCCAGCUAAGGUCCCAAAGUCAUGGUUAAGUGGGAAACGAUGUGGGAAGGCCCAGACAGCCAGGAUGUUGGCUUAGAAGCAGCCAUCAUUUAAAGAAAGCGUAAUAGCUCACUGGUCGAGUCGGCCUGCGCGGAAGAUGUAACGGGGCUAAACCAUGCACCGAAGCUGCGGCAGCGACGCUGAUGCGUUGUUGGGUAGGGGAGCGUUCUGUAAGCCUGUGAAGGUGUGCUGUGAGGCAUGCUGGAGGUAUCAGAAGUGCGAAUGCUGACAUAAGUAACGAUAAAGCGGGUGAAAAGCCCGCUCGCCGGAAGACCAAGGGUUCCUGUCCAACGUUAAUCGGGGCAGGGUGAGUCGACCCCUAAGGCGAGGCCGAAAGGCGUAGUCGAUGGGAAACAGGUUAAUAUUCCUGUACUUGGUGUUACUGCGAAGGGGGGACGGAGAAGGCUAUGUUGGCCGGGCGACGGUUGUCCCGGUUUAAGCGUGUAGGCUGGUUUUCCAGGCAAAUCCGGAAAAUCAAGGCUGAGGCGUGAUGACGAGGCACUACGGUGCUGAAGCAACAAAUGCCCUGCUUCCAGGAAAAGCCUCUAAGCAUCAGGUAACAUCAAAUCGUACCCCAAACCGACACAGGUGGUCAGGUAGAGAAUACCAAGGCGCUUGAGAGAACUCGGGUGAAGGAACUAGGCAAAAUGGUGCCGUAACUUCGGGAGAAGGCACGCUGAUAUGUAGGUGAAGUCCCUCGCGGAUGGAGCUGAAAUCAGUCGAAGAUACCAGCUGGCUGCAACUGUUUAUUAAAAACACAGCACUGUGCAAACACGAAAGUGGACGUAUACGGUGUGACGCCUGCCCGGUGCCGGAAGGUUAAUUGAUGGGGUCAGCGCAAGCGAAGCUCUUGAUCGAAGCCCCGGUAAACGGCGGCCGUAACUAUAACGGUCCUAAGGUAGCGAAAUUCCUUGUCGGGUAAGUUCCGACCUGCACGAAUGGCGUAAUGAUGGCCAGGCUGUCUCCACCCGAGACUCAGUGAAAUUGAACUCGCUGUGAAGAUGCAGUGUACCCGCGGCAAGACGGAAAGACCCCGUGAACCUUUACUAUAGCUUGACACUGAACAUUGAGCCUUGAUGUGUAGGAUAGGUGGGAGGCUUUGAAGUGUGGACGCCAGUCUGCAUGGAGCCGGCCUUGAAAUACCACCCUUUAAUGUUUGAUGUUCUAACGUUGACCCGUAAUCCGGGUUGCGGACAGUGUCUGGUGGGUAGUUUGACUGGGGCGGUCUCCUCCUAAAGAGUAACGGAGGAGCACGAAGGUUGGCUAAUCCUGGUCGGACAUCAGGAGGUUAGUGCAAUGGCAUAAGCCAGCUUGACUGCGAGCGUGACGGCGCGAGCAGGUGCGAAAGCAGGUCAUAGUGAUCCGGUGGUUCUGAAUGGAAGGGCCAUCGCUCAACGGAUAAAAGGUACUCCGGGGAUAACAGGCUGAUACCGCCCAAGAGUUCAUAUCGACGGCGGUGUUUGGCACCUCGAUGUCGGCUCAUCACAUCCUGGGGCUGAAGUAGGUCCCAAGGGUAUGGCUGUUCGCCAUUUAAAGUGGUACGCGAGCUGGGUUUAGAACGUCGUGAGACAGUUCGGUCCCUAUCUGCCGUGGGCGCUGGAGAACUGAGGGGGGCUGCUCCUAGUACGAGAGGACCGGAGUGGACGCAUCACUGGUGUUCGGGUUGUCAUGCCAAUGGCACUGCCCGGUAGCUAAAUGCGGAAGAGAUAAGUGCUGAAAGCAUCUAAGCACGAAACUUGCCCCGAGAUGAGUUCUCCCUGACUCCUUGAGAGUCCUGAAGGAACGUUGAAGACGACGACGUUGAUAGGCCGGGUGUGUAAGCGCAGCGAUGCGUUGAGCUAACCGGUACUAAUGAACCGUGAGG